UAAAUCGGGCCGAUGAGCGAGGCGAGGCGCGGGGGGGAUGUGUUCGGGAAGCGGACUACUUUUUGUGUCGGUGCGGCGAAUUUAUUUCACUUUGCCUAAGGAACGGCGGUGCUGCGACUCCCAUUGCCUAGGGAAAAAACCCGGAUGUAAACUCAGUGAAACUCUAUGGAGAGAAAGUCUCACACACACACACACACCGUGAAACUCGGCGGCGGAGCGGAGCACUUUGUUGUGUUGUUGUGUUACCGACCAGCUCCGCGCAGCACGCCGCCCUUCAGCCUCCACGUUCGGCUGCUCGCUGCUGGACCCGCCGGACUGUUGCACUUUGUGGAGGAAAAGGAAGAGGAGGCCCCUUUUCUCCUGCUUCCAGAGAAACGAAUAAAUAACUCCGUGGAGGAAUGUGACCACAGAAUAAACUCACAGAAGCCAAACGGGAAACAAAUCUGAGUCUGUGUGAAUCUGCAGUUUCCACACAGAGAUUAACAACAGCUACAUCAUCUGUCCGGGUUCAUGAGGGACACUGACGGUAGGUGACUGUGAGGCAGACGAGGAUCUGAGAGGUCAGCAAUCCCAGAAAAGUGGUGGACAGCUGUACCCAUGACCGAAAGGAGGGACACAGACACGGGUGGAGACUGCAUAGGUGAGGAGGGAAGAAAGAGAGGAAACAGGAAGUGAAAAAAGGAAACAUGAGGGUGAUGAAUGAAGACGGGGCGACACAAAAAGUGAAACAAGCCUGGCCUCUGCACCGUCAGCCCCGAGUGACCCCAGGAGCCAGGUGUUGGAGACCCAUUUGAUCCUGGGGGCGGGACUUGUGGCCUCCACCACCCACAGGAAGUGGUCCAUCAACAAAACUGAGCUCUGUAAGUGGAUGCAUUGACUAAAAAACAGCCACUAGAGGGGGAUGUGACACAGUCAAACGCAUCAGACUGUUCCUGACUUCCUGCUCGUCUGCUGGGGUCCAAACACCGACCCGUGGACCAGAAAAGGCCCUCCAGCACAGUAUCAGUUUCUAUUUCCCUAGAAUAUGAAAGUCUUUUUUUCUCUCAUGUCUGAUGAGCAUUAUCUCAAGGUUUUCAUCCAUCCAUCCAUUCGCUUCCGCUUCUCCUUUUCAGGGUCGCGGGGGGCGCUGGAGCCUAUCCCA